rnacentral:rRNA from 1 species
GAUGAACGCUGGCGGCGUGCCUAAUACAUGCAAGUCGAGCGAACAGACGAGGAGCUUGCUCCUUUGACGUUAGCGGCGGACGGGUGAGUAACACGUAGGUAACCUACCUAUAAGACUGGGAUAACUUCGGGAAACCGGAGCUAAUACCGGAUAAUAUUUCGAACCGCAUGGUUCAAUAGUGAAAGAUGGCUUUGCUAUCACUUAUAGAUGGAACUGCGCCGCAUUAGCUAGUUGGUAAGGUAACGGCUUACCAAGGCAACGAUCCGUAGCCGACCUGAGAGGGUGAUCGGCCACACUGGAACUGAGACACGGUCCAGACUCCUACGGGAGGCAGCAGUAGGGAAUCUUCCGCAAUGGGCGAAAGCCUGACGGAGCAACGCCGCGUGAGUGAUGAAGGUCUUCGGAUCGUAAAACUCUGUUAUUAGGGAAGAACAAACGUGUAAGUAACUGUGCACGUCUUGACGGUACCUAAUCAGAAAGCCACGGCUAACUACGUG